UAUUGGACAAUGGGCGCAAGCCUGAUCCAGCAAUGCCGCGUGAGUGAUGAAGGCCUUCGGGUCGUAAAGCUCUUUUACCAGGGAUGAUAAUGACAGUACCUGGAGAAUAAGCUCCGGCUAACUCCGUGCCAGCAGCCGCGGUAAUACGGAGGGAGCUAGCGUUGUUCGGAAUUACUGGGCGUAAAGCGCGCGUAGGCGGCUACUCAAGUCAGAGGUGAAAGCCCGGGGCUCAACCCCGGAACUGCCUUUGAAACUAGGUGGCUAGAAUCUUGGAGAGGUCAGUGGAAUUCCGAGUGUAGAGGUGAAAUUCGUAGAUAUUCGGAAGAACACCAGUGGCGAAGGCGACUGACUGGACAAGUAUUGACGCUGAGGUGCGAA
rnacentral:rRNA from 1 species